rnacentral:rRNA from 1 species
GUUGGGUAGGGGAGCGUUCUGUAAGCCUGCGAAGGUGUACUGUGAGGUAUGCUGGAGGUAUCAGAAGUGCGAAUGCUGACAUAAGUAACGAUAAUGCGGGUGAAAAACCCGCACGCCGGAAGACCAAGGGUUCCUGUCCAACGUUAAUCGGGGCAGGGUGAGUCGACCCCUAAGGCGAGGCUGAAAAGCGUAGUCGAUGGGAAACGGGUUAAUAUUCCCGUACUGGUGGUAACUGCGAUGGGGGAACGGAGAAGGCUAGGUUGUCCGGGCGACGGUCGUCCCGGUUCAAGCAGGUAGGCAGAGUGAUUAGGCAAAUCCGGUCACUUAAUGCUGAGAUGUGAUGACGAACCACCAAGGUGGUGAAGCAAUUGAUGCCCCGCUUCCAGGAAAAGCCUCUAAGCUUCAGGUUACCAACAAUCGUACCCCAAACCGACACAGGUGGUCAGGUAGAGAAUACUCAGGCGCUUGAGAGAACUCGGGUGAAGGAACUAGGCAAAAUGGUGCCGUAACUUCGGGAGAAGGCACGCUGGCGGUAGGUAAAGUCCCUUGCGGACGGCGCUGAAGCCAGUCGAAGAUACCAGCUGGCUGCAACUGUUUAUUAAAAACACAGCACUGUGCAAACACGAAAGUGGACGUAUACGGUGUGACGCCUGCCCGGUGCUGGAAGGUUAAUUGAUGGGGUUAGCGUAAGCGAAGCUCCUGAUCGAAGCCCCAGUAAACGGCGGCCGUAACUAUAACGGUCCUAAGGUAGCGAAAUUCCUUGUCGGGUAAGUUCCGACCUGCACGAAUGGCGUAAUGAUGGCCAGGCUGUCUCCACCCGAGACUCAGUGAAAUUGAACUCGCUGUGAAGAUGCAGUGUACCCGCGGCAAGACGGAAAGACCCCGUGAACCUUUACUAUAGCUUGACACUGAACAUUGAGCCUUGAUGUGUAGGAUAGGUGGGAGGCUUUGAAGUGUGGACGCCAGUCUGCAUGGAGCCAACCUUGAAAUACCACCCUUUAACGUUUGAUGUUCUAACCUAGGCCCAUAAACUGGGUCGGGGACCGUGUCUGGUGGGUAGUUUGACUGGGGCGGUCUCCUCCUAAAGAGUAACGGAGGAGCACGAAGGUUGGCUAAGCAUGGUCGGACAUCAUGCGGUUAGUGCAAAGGCAUAAGCCAGCUUGACUGCGAGAGUGACGGCUCGAGCAGGUACGAAAGUAGGUCUUAGUGAUCCGGUGGUUCUGAAUGGAAGGGCCAUCGCUCAACGGAUAAAAGGUACUCCGGGGAUAACAGGCUGAUACCGCCCAAGAGUUCAUAUCGACGGCGGUGUUUGGCACCUCGAUGUCGGCUCAUCACAUCCUGGGGCUGAAGUAGGUCCCAAGGGUAUGGCUGUUCGCCAUUUAAAGUGGUACGCGAGCUGGGUUUAGAACGUCGUGAGACAGUUCGGUCCCUAUCUGCCGUGGGCGUUGGAAGAUUGAGAGGGGUUGCUCCUAGUACGAGAGGACCGGAGUGAACGCACCACUGGUGUUCGGGUUGUCAUGCCAAUGGCAUUGCCCGGUAGCUAAGUGCGGAAGAGAUAACCGCUGAAAGCAUCUAAGCGGGAAACUUGCCUCGAGAUGAGUCUUCCCUGUCGCUUUAAGUGACCUAAAGGAACGUUUAAGACUAAGACGUUGAUAGGCUGGGUGUGUAAGCGUAGCGAUACGUUGAGCUAACCAGUACUAAUGAACCGUGAGGCUUAACCU